UACCAGCACCCCCGAGUGGUCGGGACGUUUUAUUGGGCCUAAAGCAUCCGUAGCCGGUUCUACAAGUCUUCCGUUAAAUCCAGCUGCUUAACAGAUGGGCUGCGGAAGAUACUAUGGAGCUAGGAGGCGGGAGAGGCAAGCGGUACUCGAUGGGUAGGGGUAAAAUCCGUUGAUCCAUUGAAGACCACCAGUGGCGAAGGCGGCUUGCCAGAACGCGCUCGACGGUGAGGGAUGAAAGCUGGGGGAGCAAACCGG
rnacentral:rRNA from 1 species